rnacentral:tRNA from 1 species
AACUCAGUGGUAGAGCACUUGCCUAGAAUGCAAGGGAGUCUGGGUUCAAGCCCCAG